GAUGAAGAACGUAGCGAAAUGCGAUAAGUAAUGUGAUUUGCAGAAUUCAGUGAAUCAUCGAAUCUUUGAACGCACCUUGCGCCUUUUGGUAUUCCGAAAGGCACACCUGUUUGAGCGUCAUGAAUACCUCAAUCUCCAUCUUUUCUUCGGAUUGAUGGGUGACUUGGAUGUUGAGCCCUGCUGGUAUGCUAUAUCAGCUGGCUUUAAACUUAUUAGCCGGCUCUGUACUGGAUCGGUUUGACUCGACGUGAUAAUAUUAUCGUUGAGGAUGCAUGUCUCAUGCAGCCGGAAAGUAUCAAAGCAGCUUCUAGCUUGCCUUUAGUGCACUUUUACAUUUUAGACCUCAGAUCAGGUGGGACUACCCGCUGAACUUAAGCAUAUCAAUAAGCGGAGGA
rnacentral:misc_RNA from 1 species